GUGAGGCGCACGUGGGGCGCCCGCCCCCCUUUCGCCCCUCCCACAGCAGCCCCCUCACCGCGGUUUCGCGCCUUCUCUCCCCCACCCCGGCUUUCCUGUCAGGAACGGGGCCGACACCUUCUCCCGGUCUUCUUGAGAAGGCAGACACAGGCUCAUGACGGACUGUGAGUCACAGGAACACGUCACCAGCAAAUAAACUCCAGUAACCUCUCGGUAGCUGCAUUUCACUGUGUGCACGGGAAAGUUUACCCCAAGUCAGGAGAACUAAGCCACUAAUUUCCUACUGCCAACAUAAACAUUCUGACUGCUGAUGGACAUGGAAGAGAAUUUGUGCUUACGGAAUGACUGGUCCAGGAUGAUUCCCAAUACAGUCGUUUGCAGCCUGGUGAAGUCCAGGGUGUUCCAGCGACACUGAGCAGCAAUGCCACGGGCCAUCUAGUGGACAUUACACACUGCCUUUGCAGACAUCCCAGGGGAGUUACAGCUGUCCUGAGAGCCACAACUUGUUCUGGUAUUGCAAUAAAACCAUAAAAACCCUGACAUGUUAUGGACAUGUAUCCCUUACUCUUGAGAAACCUCCAAAUGCCUCAAUCUGGCACUUAACGAAUACCUCAAAUAAUACCAUCCAUGUCCUAAAUACCAGCCAAAUGUUUAACAAAAAUCCGUUUCUCUGUGUAGCUUUGAUACACAGAAGGUAUAUGAGCUGGAAGAAUAGCAAAGAUUACUCCUAGAAUUAACUUUCAAGCCACCAACAGAGUACUGCUAGUUAAUUUUUCCUAGGUUACAAACAGAAGCUGCCCAGUUGACUCAAAACUGAGGAUCAGGAGUCUCCAGUUUGUCCACAGGCUUCUUCUGGCACAGAACCUGUACUUCAGGCAGAUGACAGCACCACGCUUGUGACAUGUAAGGCUGAGCACAUAAGACUGCUCAGCCAGCAAUUAUUUAAAUGAUUGUGUGAUUUUUGGAGCAUAGUGCGCCUGUGAAGCAAUGCAUUGUUAGUGCUUAGAAGCAGCUUUAAGAAACGGAUAUAUGGUGAAUAUUUAAAGUCAGUUCAGAAGCGUUUCUAGAAAUACCAUGUUUCUCAUCAGGCGCAUUACUGUAACCCCAAUGCUGCCUUUGUUCCUUGGUCCUUUUUAUCCCUUACUUAAACAGCUCCUGAGACAGCAGAUUGACUGGAAGCCCAAAAUCGCCAGGAGGACAGUAACUGUUACUGGUGCCUCAUUAAUGCACUGUGCCAGACCUCUUCAAAAGAAAUUACCUUCUGAGAAACAACCUAUUCCUGAUACUACAUGAGAUGGAUAACAUCACAGCUGAUAAUAAUAGGUAUAACUGAUACAGAUUUUUACCUCUUCAAAGCACUUUGUAAUCUUUGCAUGGUUAAUAACCAUGAUGCUCUGUAAAUACUUAUUAGCCUCUGUUUUAACAGUAAGAAACAAAG